CGACCGGCGCACGGGUGAGUAACACGUAUCCAACCUGCCGAUAACUCGGGGAUAGCCUUUCGAAAGAAAGAUUAAUACAAGAUGGCAUCAUGAGUCCGCAUGUUCACAUGAUUAAAGGUAUUCCGGUAGACGAUGGGGAUGCGUUCCAUUAGAUAGUAGGCGGGGUAACGGCCCACCUAGUCUUCGAUGGAUAGGGGUUCUGAGAGGAAGGUCCCCCACAUUGGAACUGAGACACGGUCCAAACUCCUACGGGAGGCAGCAUG
rnacentral:rRNA from 1 species